CGCGCGUUCUUCUCUCCGAUGAGUCCAGUGGUUGACUUGCUGAAGCAGAGCGUCCUCUGCAUUAUGGAAGAUGAUAUGUUAGAAAUGCUUCUUUAGUAUCUACUUAUUGGUAUAGUGCUGUCCUUUAAGUCUUGCCCUCGUUAUUAGUUCAGUAGUUAACAGUAGCUACUUUGGGGACUUGCAGAACCAUGCACGUGGGCAUCUCUGAACGUUUUGAAACCAUGCGGUGCUGUCUAUACCUGGCUUAUGUGGACUGAACUGAAGCCGUACUCGCCAAUGACUGCGCACAUGGCAGACGCUGCCCGGGUUGACUUGAUUGCAAGGAGACUUAACCUCGAAAGGUGUGGAACUGAAUCAAGGAUGUGGCUGGAGUGGAGACAUCAUCUUUAAAGGUGUGAAGCUGCCCCAAUGAGUUGAUGGCAUGGAGACUCAUCUGCCAAGGUGUGGAACUGAAUCAAGGAUGUGGCUGGAGUGGAGACAUCAUCUUUAAAGGUGUGGAACUGAACCAACGCUGUGAAAGGUAGGCUGCCUUUGCAAAACAUCCCUGCCGUCUCAGAACUGGACAUGUUGACUGGGGUGUUCCUCGUCUGAUGCCCCUUGCUGAUUUUCAGCCCCAACCUACCCUCCAUGUGUACCCGAUCACAAUUUAGAAGAGCCUUUCCUAUCUAUUGCCUUGAGUUUUGUUCGGUGGUGAUAUUUAGUUCUGAACUCAAAUUGCUGUUUAUGGGCCGUCACUUUGAGUUGGAUAUUUAAAAAUGUGUAAAUGUUAUACUGUGACACUUCACCUAUUUAAGAUGUAAAGAAGUAUAACUGUAUGUGUUCACAACCCAGUACUUUAUUCACAUUUUGUUACAGCUUGAAUUAAAUUGAGGUUGUUUACCAGCCUACACACAGUA